rnacentral:misc_RNA from 1 species
AAGUCGUAACAAGGUUUCCGUAGGUGAACCUGCGGAAGGAUCAUUAGUGAAAACAAGGGUGUCCAAUUUAACUUGGAGCCCGAACUCUCACUUUCUAACCCUGUGCAUCUGUUAUUGGUUAGUAGCUCUUCGGAGUGAACUCCAUUCACUUACAAACACAAAGUUUAUGAAUGUAUACAAAAUUAUAACAAAACAAAACUUUCAACAACGGAUCUCUUGGCUCUC